rnacentral:rRNA from 1 species
CCUACGGGGGGCUGCAGUGGGGAAUAUUGGACAAUGGGGGCAACCCUGAUCCAGCCAUGCCGCGUGUGUGAAGAAGGCCCUCGGGUUGUAAAGCACUUUCAGUGAGGAAGAACGCCUGGUGGUUAAUACCCAUCAGGAAAGACAUCACUCACAGAAGAAGCACCGGCUAACUCCGUGCCAGCAGCCGCGGUAAUACGGAGGGUGCGAGCGUUAAUCGGAAUUACUGGGCGUAAAGCGCGCGUAGGUGGCUUGAUAAGCCGGUUGUGAAAGCCCCGGGCUCAACCUGGGAACGGCAUCCGGAACUGGCAAGCUAGAGUGCAGGAGAGGAAGGUAGAAUUCCCGGUGUAGCGGUGAAAUGCGUAGAGAUCGGGAGGAAUACCAGUGGCGAAGGCGGCCUUCUGGACUGACACUGACACUGAGGUGCGAAAGCGUGGGUAGCAAACAGGAUUAGAUACCCUGGUAGUC